GGGGAAUAUUGCACAAUGGGGGAAACCCUGAUGCAGCAACGCCGCGUGAAGGAAGACGGUCUUCGGAUUGUAAACUUUUGUUCUUGGUGAAGAAAAAUGACGGUAGCCAAGGAGGAAGCCACGGCUAACUACGUGCCAGCAGCCGCGGUAAUACGUAGGUGGCAAGCGUUGUCCGGAAUUACUGGGUGUAAAGGGCGUGUAGGCGGGACUGCAAGUCAGAUGUGAAAACCAUGGGCUCAACCUGUGGCCUGCAUUUGAAACUGUAGUUCUUGAGUACUGGAGAGGCAGACGGAAUUCCUAGUGUAGCGGUGAAAUGCGUAGAUAUUAGGAGGAACACCAGUGGCGAAGGCGGUCUGCUGGACAGCAACUGACGCUGAGGCGCGAAAGCGUGGGGAGCAAACAGGAUUAGAUACCCUGGUAGUCCACGCUGUAAACGAUGGAUACUAGGUGUGGGGGGUCUGACCCCCUCCGUGCCGCAGUUAACACAAUAAGUAUCCCACCUGGGGAGUACGAUCGCAAGGUUGAAACUCAAAGGAAUUGACGGGGGCCCGCACAAGCGGUGGAGUAUGUGGUUUAAUUCGAAGCAACGCGAAGAACCUUACCAGGGCUUGACAUCCCGGUGACCGGUGUAGAGAUACACCUUCUUCUUCGGAAGCACCGGUGACAGGUGGUGCAUGGUUGUCGUCAGCUCGUGUCGUGAGAUGUUGGGUUAAGUCCCGCAACGAGCGCAACCCUUAUUGUUAGUUGCUACGCAAGAGCACUCUAGCGAGACUGCCGUUGACAAAACGGAGGAAGGUGGGGACGACGUCAAAUCAUCAUGCCCCUUAUGUCCUGGGCCACACACGUACUACAAUGGUGGUCAACAGAGGGAAGCAAGACCGCGAGGUGGAGCAAACCCCUAAAAGCCAUCCCAGUUCGGAUUGCAGGCUGCAACUCGCCUGUAUGAAGUUGGAAUCGCUAGUAAUCGCGGAUCAGCAUGCCGCGGUGAAUACGUUCCCG
rnacentral:rRNA from 1 species